rnacentral:rRNA from 1 species
AGAAUCAACGCUGGCGGCGUGCCUAACACAUGCAAGUCGCACGAGAAAGGGGUUUCGGCCCUGAGUAAAGUGGCGUACGGGUGAGUAACACGUGACUAACCUACCCUCGAGUGGGGAAUAACCUAGAGAAAUCUGGGCUAAUACCGCAUAACACUCAUGAGUCAAAGCAGCAAUGCGCUUGAGGAGGGGGUCGCGGCAGAUUAGCUAGUUGGUGAGGUAAUGGCUCACCAAGGCGAUGAUCUGUAUCCGGCCUGAGAGGGCGCACGGACACACUGGAACUGAAACACGGUCCAGACUCCUACGGGAGGCAGCAGUGGGGAAUUUUGCGCAAUGGGGAAACCCUGACGCAGCAACGCCGCGUGGAGGAUGAAAUCCCUUGGGAUGUAACUCCUUUCGAUAGGGAAGAUAAUGACGGUACCUAGUAGAAGAAGCCCGGCUAACUUCGCGCCAGCAGCCGC